CCCCCACCCUAACAUCUCUAUAACCAGAUCCUGGGAAAGCCAUCGCAGCAUUAAGGCGCAAUGACGACGUCACCUUCGGGACUGUCCGUCCUGACAUUUUAUCAUCUUCAGGAAAGAGUGAAAUACCUUCUGCAUCAGUGGACGGACAGCUCUGCGAGUCCUGCGAGUUCGGUAUGUUAGUCGUGACAACAGAAGCUGCCACUGAGCGGACACACAUAUGUAUCCAAUAUUGCUUUAGAAUGCAUUAUGUGUUUGUAUAAUGUGCCAGUUUAUUUCUGUAGCCUAUCAUUUUCAAUUCUGCCCAUUUCUACAUAUUCUUUAAGGAAUUGAAUGAUUAAAUGACUAUUUACCUAUUUAUUCAAUUCACUACAUUUAUUCCACCCCUUUAUCCUAUUGCAUUAUACAACACACACACACACACACACAAACAUUGCGCUAUGUUUAUAAACCCUUACGUCCAGCCCCUCUGCUUCCCCUACUCCAGUAGUUUGCAUCAUGGUCCUGGGGGGCCAUUAUUUAGUGCCCCUGUAUAUCUGUAUACAGAUGGUACAACAAUAAAGCCAAUUUGACUUGAGCAGACCCCUAAAAUGAGGAAUAUUUUUAGUAACGCUAAAUGCUGUGCAGUACAUCUAAGAUAUGUAUGUCCAGGGAGCACGGAACAGUGAGAAUGCCUAUCUGUGAUUAAAACAUUUAUUAGUCCCGCAAAGCUCCUAAUAAGACUCCUAUGAAGGGAUUAGAGACGCACUGCGGUAUCUGCACAUUAAAUCUUAAAGGUAAGCAGCUCACUUUGUUCAGGUACAAACUUCACGGCGUGCUUUGAAACCCCCCAAACAAACAGCUCGUGUGAGUCCACGGAUAUUCCUCUGGGGGAGGCGUGCGCUGAACUGCCACACUUGAUUGUUCCCUGUGAAGAAAUGAUCUCACCACUGGUGAGGUGGGAAAAAAAAAAAACUCCAUUUAUAUGGGUUGACAAAUGAAUUCGAAGGGAUCUCGGCUGAAUUUUCUCGCCAUUCAAAAUCACCGUGGAAAAUGGUAGUCUUUGAGUUGUUCCCACCAUGAUACUAUUUGCUAAAUCAUUACAGCCACAAAUAGGCUAAUUUUAACAGUUGCACAAUACAGCCAAAAUAUGCCUUCUGAGAAUACAAUGCGUUUUUUCCCAGUUUUGGUUUCUCUGAGCGCGCUAAUUUAGCUUAACUAGAUUAAACAAAUGGUCGUAUUGAUGGGGUGGGGGGUAUUAUCAUGCCCCCACCGCGCUCCAUUUUCUGCAGUUAUUUUUUUCGUCCCGUUCUCCUCACUGUAACGCUCUCCCAUCUGCUCAUCAGCAAGCCUCUUCAAUUAUUUCUGUAAGUAUUUAAUUACAUUAGCAUAAAGAAAACUGGGCCAGCUCCUGCACCAGGGUCUAUGCAGCUCUGGUAGCCAUCGGAUACGCGCGGCGACCUCCUGCUGGGGAAAAAAGCAUCUAAACGUACAUGAGAAGAGUAUAAAUGGAGAAAACUGACCCCGCCCCCUUUCUUAAUAGACAAACCAAGCUGCUCUCUCCACAGCAGCAUUCCAGUCCUUCCCUCUUCACGCGUCCUUGGCCUGACUUCUGGCAAAUAAUUUGCCUUGAAAGAUUUAUCUUGAAAUAAAUAAAUAAAAUGAUUAUAAACAAAGUGGCAAACAAAGACACGAUAAUCCAUAAUUUCGUCAUUUUUUUACAGUUGCUAGCUGGCUAGCCUUGAGUGGCUGGCGAUAGCCAUUGUGUGAGGACACUGUUACACUAAUCCUUAAAGCCAGGAAAAAAGAGGGAAAGUUCCCCCCCCCCGCCAAAGAAGUCCUAUUUUUAAUCCUAAACACAUCCAUUUGAAUUCUGACCUCUUUGUGGCAGCCAGCAUGUUCUCUCUCGUGCUGGCCUUUUGAAGCUUUUGACGUCAUUGUGUUUCUUGCAUGUGAAGGGAAGCCUCCCGCAGGGAAGGGGGGGGGAGGGGGGGGGUGUACUGUCACGUACGUAUACAUAAAAACUCACCGGCGCUCAUCCCUUGCUCAGCUCCAUUGUGAGAGCUGCACAGACGUUUCACUCACUAAAGACAAAUACAGACUGGGAAUAUAUAACCUUAAUAUAGAAAACAUGCCCAGCUGCUGAUUGGCUGAGCCGUGGUUACAGUUCAGCACCGGAAAAGAACAAUAGGUUAAAAGCAAGUCAGCCCCUUCCAGCUGGCUUUCCGAGGCGUUUAGCUUAUGUUAAGCAGUCGGACGGAGCUCCUCUAUGCACUGCACACCUGCGACAAUCCCUCCCUGCCAGAUGUGUCACAGGUCUUCCUGCUCAGACACCCCCCUCAAAGCACAGCAUGGCCCAGUCCAGAUUUCUUCCCUUUGAGAGACUGUCGGCUACCCUCACCCGGCUCCGCCGGCACCUCCCAAAGAUGCUAAUGCAUCAUUUACACAACAAAUUAACAUACUGCCACACCGCUGCUCUCCCACAGAGGGGACAGCAAGGCAGGCCACAUUUUCUCUGUUCCUGUCCCACAAAUUAGAAAACAUUCCAUAUAGGUGUUAAUGGUGUUCCUCUAAAAAUCAGACCCAACCUGUGAUUUACACGCAUACGAGAAAUUAAACAUAAAAAAAAAAAAUAGAACAGUCUGCAUAUGCAAUUAAAAUGGAUUCUUCUGUAUUUUCCCAGGUGUUCAGAGAAGUUUGUCAACCAAGCAAUUUGAGUGGAAAUGAAAGUCUGGAUUCAUUACUUAAAUGAUAGCCUUUGUGGGGGGAAAAAAUCCAUAAAAAAUCCACAAAGACGCUCCAGGUUUUUGAUUGUUGGCCAAGGCAGUGGAAGUGGAUCUGAAGUCUUAUCCACAGCCAGAUGCCUCCAGCCCAUCGCACUAAUCAAGAAAACGAGUCCUAAGGGUUGUGCUGUAGAGGUGAUGAAAUUUUAGAAUAUGCCUAGAACGAUUUACAAGCCAAGGACACGGAAGCCCCAGCUGGAGAGAUUCAGAAAAGCCUGCUGUUAAUAUCCACACCUAAACUCAUAGACUGUUUAACACAUCCCUUUUGCUUAGAACGCUCAGCAGUAUUAAAAAAAAAAUUAAAACGUAACCUUUUUAGUCGCAGACACCAUGAGUGAUGUUCCUCUCAAAUUAUCACCGCUAAAGAUGACCGUCUCACAAGACCGUGCAAACUCUUCAAGAAGCUGCCAAGGAAAAAAAAAGACAUAGCCCUUUUCAAAGUGGCAUUUCUCACUUUAUCAAAUUGCUGCUUGCUCUCUUGAAAUAAAAAAAAAAAUAUAUAGCUGGGGCCCCUAAGAAGUGUGAGAAGCAUUUUGAGCUGCUGGUAUCGUGGCAGAGACACUGGGGGACUGACAGUCAUUGCCAGUUCAUUAUCCCAGUCUGGCUUAUGGAACAAAGUGUGACCAGCCUCAAGGACUUUGGCCACCAUCCUGCCCAAGUCCCUGGAUCAUGAGUAUUUUGUACAUCUGCUGUAUACAGUAAAAACAAGACUCCUUCAGCGAAGAUUGCAUUUAGGACUCUGAUGCAAACUCAGUCUUACAUUGCAGCUAACGUGACUUUAUUUCAUCAUUCCAAUGCAUUCGCACCUUCGAUCAUUUCAAAAGAAAAGGCGUAUCUCAUAAUUAAAGCGAUGGCAGAUUUUUGAGCUCAGCCUCAACACUCAUAAAUUGGCUAAUGAGAGUUUUUGGCUUUAUUUCUUCGCUGAUAUAUGCCUAUAGACCGCGUUGGUGAGUGACAUCAUGACCUGCGCUGUAGUGUGAGCUACGUCGCCAUGGGAAUGGAGCCACGGGAGGAAGAAAAAUGGCGGAGAGGCGGCAACAAAAAUUACAAAACCUGCUGCUCCUAGCUGCAGAGAGGAAUUUAAAUCAUCCCCUGUGUGCUGGCUUUUUGUUGUUGUUGUUGAAUAGCCAUCUGUAAUCUACGAUUUUGUUGAGGGCCUCCUUAGACUUUCAAAUAUGAGAAAUGGACCUGGUCUCCCAUUUCAAUGUACCUAGAAGGAACGCAGGACUUGCAUCAAGCAAUUUAACGGCAUGGGACCUAAAUCACCCUUUAAAAAAAAAUAAUAAUUUAUGGAAUGUCCAUAAAAAAGAAUUUGUAGACAUUCCUGAUGUCUGUUUAGAAUAGAAAAAAUAUUGAUUAGUAAAAUUUAGCCAUAUUUAGAACUUACAGGUAUUAGGAAAUCAGAUGGACUCCAUUGAUUUUAUCUUGUUUAAAUGGACAGUGCUCUUUUCAAAAGCUUGCAUUCCUCCAUCCAUCCAUCCUUUGUCCAUCCUGCUUGUCCAGUUCUAGGAUAGGUUGCAUGUUAUUGCAGUUCUAAUUAAAAGCUAACUUUUGGAGUAGGUUUCAUAUAGGAUGAAGAUGGGAAUUUGCAGAUGUUUGGUGUUUCAUGUUAUUAGAAUAGUGUUACUAAUUAAAAAGCACCCAAUGACACUGCUUGUCAAUUAACUUUUUAUAUCUUAGAAGUAGAGGUUGACCGAUAUAUCGGGCGGCCGAUAUAUCGGGCCGAUAUUUGGGAUUUUUUAAUGUGUCGGCAUUGGCCAAUAUCCGAGUGUAGUAUGCCAAUUUACAGACAGGCACGUCUGCGGGCAGCCCAGUGUUAUUGUUGCUGUGAAACACAUGACCCAUGCUGCCUUGUGCAGGACCCCAGCCAGAAAUUUAGGAAGAGUCCUGGGAGAAUAUGGUAAGGCUUGAAUUCUGAUCUUUCAAAGACCUAUUUAUUUAACUGGUUUGCAAUGAAAUGUUGCUGUAAAAGAAAACGCAAGUGCUUUUGAAAGAGAAUGCGAAUUACGGGAACUGGCGUAAUGAUAAUGAGCCUUCAACCAACUGUUGCUUACAGGUAACGUUAAGGAUCAUUGAUUCUGACAGAGUUUGGAAUUCUGAUGCUUUAUUGUUUAUAAGUUUAAGUUAUUGCUUACAAGUUGUAUUGUAUACAGCAUAUAUCGGCCAUCGGCUGACCCUGACUCCUAAAUAUCAGCAUUGGCUAUUGAAAAACCCAUAUCGGUCAACCUCUACUUAGAAGUAUAAUUUAGGUCUCACUUUAUUACUACUUUAAAUGAAUGUUUUACUUACAUUGUACAUACAUUUAUGAACAAAGUAUUGAUUUUUGUUAUAAAACCAAUAAGCAAUAUUUUUCCUGAAUUAUGCAAGCAUCCCAAGAUAUACUGAAAUUAUGGCCAUUAAUUGCCAUAUAUUUUAAGCUUAUGUCAGUAAUAAUAAGAUAAACCCUAAGCAGUGUAGAUGUCCGUAUAUAAUCGGUAGCAGAGUGGUUAAGGACACUCCGCAUUGCUAGCUCAAGUACCCAUGGGAUUCUGGUGUCAUAUCAGUGAGGAAGGUACUUUACCUGAAGCACCCUAGUCAAAUAUCCUGUUGUAUAAACAGGUUGAACUCUAAGUGGCUUUCGAUAAAAUAAUACCAUCAACAACAGUAGCUAACAGCUAACCCUACAUGCCUUCAUAACAGCUCUUCUGGCUGCCGGUAUAGUCUUUCAUGAUGUGUGGUUACAGCAUGCCCAUGUCAUGAACAAAUUAUGUCAAGUAUAUCCCAUUAACAGCCAUGAAGAAGACAUGAUAACACAGGCUGAAUUCAACCUUUGGAACAGAGGAUGAAGACAAAUGCACAGUUAUUUAACUCUUUGAAGUUAAGUAACAUAACAUCAAUGGUGUGUGUACAAGUAAAUAGAUUUUUUGCUUGCGGCUGGAGAAGAGAAUUUGGCAUUCAGCGGGCAAAUCUAAACAGAGGUCUAUGGAAAAGCGUCCAUCUUCUGUGGAAGAAAAACUGUCUGGUUAAGUCGUGCAAGGAUUGAUAAUAUGCAAAUGUAAUUAGUUGAAUCCACUUAAAGUCCUUCCCUCCUAGAGAGAUGUUCCUCUUAACCGGCCAGGGUAUACAAUGAGAAGACAGAGAAGGACACGGCUGUGAAUGAAGACUGGCUAGAUUGCAGGAGCAAUGAGCUCACGGCUCUAAUAAUGCCUGUGUAGCCAAGAGAACUCAUCAGAUAUAUUCUUUAAACUAUGGGAAAAAAUCUGCAAAGUAUGAGUUUUUUUUCUCUCCUUCCUCUUCUUUUUUCCCCGUUUUUUAAGGGGCUGCUGCACCAUAAUGGCUGGAUCUGUAUGCACUGAGCUCUGUGAACACUAUGUCCAAUUGAUGUGACAACCCCGUUAUCUUGUCAUGGGCUGAAUUCACUCCAGUUAAGCGAUUCAUGCCCUUCUCUUUGCAUGUGCGUUUGACGAACGAAGGAAACAAACCGAAUUCAGCACGCCAUAUCUCUGCCUCGCCACCCGCUACACGUAAAAAUGCCAGAAUGCUCUGUGACGCUAUAGUUGCAAUGAUAAAAAACUAUCUAAAAAUGAAAAUAAAGGGCUUUUUGUUUGAGAAAAAUUGGGCCAGACGGGGCUUUAUGAUUUUUUUUUGUUUGGUUUUGUGAAAGCAGAACAAAAAAACAAUUUUAAUAUGUGGUUUCAGCGUUGAUGCAACGGGAGGCAAAGGCGCACAGUAACGCUGCACGAUAACCCAAUGAACAGCUACAAAUCUGGCUCACCUCUGUCACAACGAAUUUCAACCCCCUCUGAGCAAAAGCUGAGCCAUACCUGGCCUGUUUUCCAGGAGCCAGCAUUACCACAGGAAAACGUCUUUGCACACCAUGCUUCUCAUUGGAAGCAGCAAUUCUGACCCCUGGGUUCUGCAAGGCAGCGAAGCGGUAAGGUUGGUGAUGAUGAUUUCCAGGAACAUGGACAUAACAUGGUCUAUUAUUUUCUGUGCUUAAAAAUCUCGCCUUUCCUUCCCUCAUUCUGAUCCAGUGACUCUUGCAUACCUAAAAGCUUGCUCCCUCCCACUUAAGACACAUACACACAAUCCCCUACCCUGGAAAGAUCCUGAUUUUUUUUCUUUCGAAGGAGCAGUGCAGGCAUGUCGAGCCCUCUCCAUCCUGACCUUCCAAAGAGGCAGAAUGUGAUCGGAAUCCCAAACUUGCCCGGACAGAACUGAGCCAGCCCACAAAUGGGAAUAAAGGAAAUCUGUCUAUUAGCACAUCCCCCCCCCCCCCCCCUCUCAUUUUUCCCCUCUCUCAACACAAAUAUUUGUUUCCGAAGCAUCGAGAAUUCUCAUCAAGCUUGGAAACAGAGGUGUAGGAAGUUUGCAUGGGUUGACGUUUGACUGUCAGGAGGAAGGAGGCAAACAGGAGGGACACAAACAUUUUGACUUAUUUUGUGAACAGAUGUGUUCUGCUCUGGGAUUGUUUACAACACCAGCUGAAGGAAUUCUUAAGAGCUUCUCAGGUUGCACUGGCGGUAUUAUUGAAAAUAUAUAUAUGUAAAAUAUAUCAUUGUGUCCUCAGUAAAACUAAAAGUAGAUUUUUAAAAACCUGCAAUAUUCAUUCAUGCAUUUUUGUUCCUUCAAUUUGGUUUCUGAACAUAACAUUUUAAAAUCUCUGUUUUUUGAUUGUUAAGGUUUUAACAUUUGGGGUUGUGUGUAUCAGCUUUUUUUUCUUUUCUUUGUGUCAGAGCUAAAAUGCUAUUUUAAAAAUACUGUCUGAAAAUUUGGUUGCAACCCCCCGCCUCACAAUCCAAAAACAAUUGCUUUAAGAUUUUAAGAUAUGGUUUUCCGGAAUGUGACACCACACAUUUGAUAGCGGAUCCAUUCAGUCAGGAGCUUCCAUUUACGGAAUGGAAAAUCGGGUUUGGACAAAAUGCACCCAAGCUGAUCCCUGCGGGACUAAUGAUUACGCAAGUUCCCUUUCAGGCCAAAUGCAAUGUUUCACCCUUCCAACUUCCAUCUUCCGUCUCACAACUGCGUUUAUUUACGUUACAAUAUGGCCACACAAGACUGCAACACAACCAUUGUGAUGCUGCCGGUAUUUAAAGAAUGACCCUUUCUUUCACUGAGGAGUGAAGAAGUCAAUCAUGUAGCUAGAAUGAUACAAAAUCAAGGAGGAUUACAAACAAUCUGCACUAAAUACCAACUUAUUCAAAUCUUCCUAAAAUAAAUGACCAAUUAAAUAGGCCCACUGACACUGAAUGGGAGGCUUACCAUCGAAGGAACAAAAUAUAUUUUAAUUUAAAAUUAACAUAUACAGAACAUUCUUUUUCAUUUCUGCAAGCAAGAUGUGUCUUAUAGGAUGUUUAUUUUAAAGGAAAUGUGGUGUGACAUAAAAAUGUUUUGAAGCAGAAAGGUGUGUGACGAUCAAGCAGAACAGCGACACAUCAAGGGUUUUUCAUAAGAAGCGCAAUACAUUUAAAUUUCCUGAAUGCAAACAUAUUUUACUGAAGCAAAACAAAUCCCAGGCUGAUCAUUAACAGA